GAGGUGACACGAUCCACAAGACAUUAAAAGGGUUGGAGGGAGUUGUUUGAACUUAAAAUUCAAACCUACAACUCCCUAUAACCAACCUUAACUCCCAUAAAACCUCUAGCUUUUAUCUAACAAUUUGAUAGAGAGAGAAUGAUGGAAAGAAAAAUGGUGAAAAUUCGUAUGGAAAAUAUCACCAAAAUUGGAAAGGCCCUAAAAUCACUAUUUUGGUAGAAAAACUCACAAAAUAAGAUUGUGAAUAAUAAUUCUCUUCCAUUGUGAUCGAGAUUGGGACCAUUGGAGUGUAAGAAAAUUGCAGAAUUCAAAGUUUUGGAAAGUAAGAUAAUUCAACCAUUUAAAAGAUCUUUAAAUUCAUCAUUUACUCGAAAUUUAUGAUUAUGCAUGCUACAAUUUAUUACAAUUAUCAAUAACUUGACGGAUUAAUAUGCAUGAUACUCGAUUCCAUGACAAUUGUUAACCAUAGUAAGAAAAACAAUUACCAUGUAGUGAUUAAUAUGGGUUCCUAUGAUAGGAAUCAAGCCUCCCAAGUGCCUUGAACACGGAAUGGCACAGCAGUUUGGGUGUAACAACAAGAAGCAAAAGUCUACAGCAAUCUAGCCUCCAAUGGAACAAAUCUUCAGAAAUUUCAGGAAGAUUUAGUCAAGGGAAGUCGAUAUGCAGAGAAGAAACUAGCCGAAAAUCACCUCCAUCAUCUUCUAUUUCGUAUAAAAGAACUGUUCCAUAAGGAAGGGGAAGUCUCGGAAAGAUGACAGCAGGAGUAAAGAAGCUAUUAUGCAAUGCUAGAGGAGCGCCUAUCAACAAUUUGCUGAAGAAUUCUCAAUCACUUCUUAGAUGAAAAUAAGUACUUAUGAAAAUUAAUUAAUUUCUGCUUAUAAUUGGUCCAAGGGAAAGAUUGUAAAAAUUUGAACUCAACAAAGAGGUUUUGUUGUGAUUUGGGAGAUCAAUUUUGCCAGAAUUAUUGAAGCUGGGAUCAUCUUGUAAAUAUUUUACAUA